rnacentral:ncRNA from 1 species
AUAAAGUUUUAUUUUAGCUUAUAAAAUUAUUAUUAAUUUAAUUUAUAUGUAAAUUUUUGUGUGAAUAUUUAUUUAUUUAGAUAAUAAAUGAAAAUUUUAUAGUUGCAAUAAUAAGUAUUAUUAAUUAAAGAAAUUUAGAAAUAAUAAUAUUAAAUAGUAUUAGUUAAAUUUGUGCCAGCAGCUGCGGUUAUACAAAUAAUGCAAAUAAUUUUUUUUAAGAUAAGUUAAAUUAUUUUUUAUUUAAAUUUAAUUAAAUUUAUUAGGUGAAAUUUUUAAAUUUAUAAAAUUUUAUUAUAUUAUAUUAUUGAUUCUUGAAAAUUUUAAAUUUAAACUAGGAUUAGAUACCCUAUUAUUUAAAAUGUAAUUUUAAAAUCUUAAGGUAGUAAUAGUUAUGUUCUUGAAACUUAAAAAAUUUGGCGGUAUUUUUAGUCUAUUCAGAGGACUUGUUUUAUAAUCGAUAAUCCACGUUGGACCUUACUUAAAUUUGUUAUCAGUUUAUAUACCGUUGUUAUUAGAAUAUUUUAUAAGAAUGUUAAUUUUCAUAAUUUUUUUUUAAAAAAAUAUAUCAGAUCAAGGUGUAGCUUAUAUUUAAGUAAAAAUGAGUUACAAUAAAAUUAUUUAAAUGAAUAUAAAUUUGAAAUAUUUAUUGAAGGUGGAUUUGAUAGUAAAAUUAUAUAGAUUAAUAAUUUGAUUUUAGCUCUAAAAUAUGUACACAUCGCCCGUCACUCUUAUUAUUUAUUUAAAGUAAGAUAAGUCGUAACAUAGUAGAUGUACUGGAAAGUGUAUCUAGAAUGCA